CCUACGGGCGGAAGCAUUGGGGAAUAUUGCACAAUGGGGGAAACCCUGAUGCAGCGACGCCGCGUGAGUGAAGAAGUAAUUCGUUAUGUAAAGCUCUAUCAGCAGGGAAGAAAAUGACGGUACCUGAGUAAGAAGCCCCGGCUAACUACGUGCCAGCAGCCGCGGUAAUACGUAGGGGGCAAGCGUUAUCCGGAUUUACUGGGUGGAAAGGGAGCGUAGACGGAAGUGCAAGUCUGGAGUGAAAGGCGGGGGCUCAAACCCCGGACUGCUCUGGAAACUGUACGGCUGGAGUGCAGGAGAGGUAAGUGGAAUUCCGAGUGUAGCGGUGAAAUGCGUAGAGAUUAGGAGGAACACCAGUGGCGAAGGCGGCUUACUGGACUGUAACUGACGUUGAGGCUCGAAAGCGUGGGGAGCAAACAGGAUUAGAUACCCGGGUAGUC
rnacentral:rRNA from 1 species